GAUGAACGCUGGCGGCGUGCCUAAUACAUGCAAGUCGAGCGAACGGACGAGAAGCUUGCUUCUCUGAUGUUAGCGGCGGACGGGUGAGUAACACGUGGAUAACCUACCUAUAAGACUGGGAUAACUUCGGGAAACCGGAGCUAAUACCGGAUAUAUUUUGAACCGCAUGGUUCAAAAGUGAAAGACGGUCUUGCUGUCACUUAUAGAUGGAUCCGCGCUGCAUUAGCUAGUUGGUAAGGUAACGGCUUACCAAGGCAACGAUGCAUAGCCGACCUGAGAGGGUGAUCGGCCACGCUGGAACUGAGACACGGUCCAGACUCCUACGGGAGGCAGCAGUAGGGAAUCUUCCGCAAUGGGCGAAAGCCUGACGGAGCAACGCCGCGUGAGUGAUGAAGGUCUUCGGAUCGUAAAACUCUGUUAUUAGGGAAGAACAUAUGUGUAAGUAACUGUGCACAUCUUGACGGUACCUAAUCAGAAAGCCACGGCUAACUACGUG
rnacentral:rRNA from 1 species